CCUACGGGAGGCAGCAGUGAGGAAUAUUGGUCAAUGGCCGUAAGGCUGAACCAGCCAAGUCGCGUGAAGGAAGAAGGAUCUAUGGUUUGUAAACUUCUUUUAUAGGGGAAUAAAGGUAUCCACGUGUGGAUAUUUGCAUGUACCCUAUGAAUACGCUUCGGCUAACUCCGUGCCAGCAGCCCCGGUAAUAAGGAGGAUGCGAGCGUUAUCCGGAUUUAUUGGGUUUAAAGGUUGCUUAGGUUGUGUUUUAAGUCAGCGGUUGAAGUUUGUGGGUCAACCAUAAAAUUGCCGUUGAAACUGGAAGACGUGAGUGUGUUUGAGGUAGGCGGAAUGCGUGGUGUAGCGGUGAAAUGCAUAGAUAUCACGCAGAACUCCGAUUGCGAAGGCAGCUUACUAAGCCAUAACUGACACUGAAGCACGAAAGCGUGGGGAUCAAACAGGAUUAGAUACCCCUGUAGUC
rnacentral:rRNA from 1 species